rnacentral:rRNA from 1 species
UCCUGAGUAGAGUGGCGCACGGGUGAGUAACACGUAGAUAAUCUACCUUCAAGCCCGGGAUAACUAUUCGAAAGGAUAGCUAAUACCGGAUGAAGUGCUUUAGCACAAGUUAAAGCAUGAAAGAUUGCCUCUUCUUGAAAGCAAUUGUUUGGAGAUGAGUUUGCGGACCAUUAGUUAGUUGGUGGGGUAAAGGCCUACCAAGACUACGAUGGUUAGCUGGUCUGAGAGGAUGAUCAGCCACACUGGAACUGGUACACGGUCCAGACUCC